UUUGAUUCCGGAGAGGGAGCCUGAGAAACGGCUACCACAUCCAAGGAAGGCAGCAGGCGCGGAAAUUACCAAAUCUAGACAGUAGGAGGUGGUGAAGAGAAGUACUAAGUGGUGGCCUUUGGCUAUCAGCUUGGAAUGAACGUAAUUUAAGCAAUUCGAUGAGUAACUAAUGGAGGGCAAGUCCUGGUGCCAGCAGCCGCGGUAAUUCCAGCUCCAUUGGCGUGAUUUAAAGUUGCUGCGUUUAAAACGCUCGUAGUUGGAUCAUGCGGUAGCAAUUAGUACUUGAUAGCAUGCAGUUGACUGCCAUAGUCGGUGUGCGCUAUCAAGGUUAUGCUAAUUGUUACUAUUUAAACGCAAAUAUGAUAUUUGGCCUUAAAUGAGUCGGAGUGUCAUGUUUUGCGAAGUUGUGCCUUGAAUAAAACAAAGUGCUUAAAGCAGGCGAACGCUUGAAUGUUAUAGCAUGGAACGAACAAACGUGUAUUUGUGUAUGACGUGUGAUAAUGGCGAAUCUCUGGUUUGCCGUUGUUACUGUUAUAUGCAGCACCUACCAAAGUACGAAUGUUGGUUUUCGUAUUCGGUGAUGAUUAAAAGGAGCGAUUGGGGGCAUUGGUAUUUUGACGCGAGAGGUGAAAUUCUAAGACCGUCAAAGGACUAACAAAUGCGAA
rnacentral:rRNA from 1 species